AUUGAACGCUGGCGGCAUGCCUUACACAUGCAAGUCGAACGGCAGCACGGACUUCGGUCUGGUGGCGAGUGGCGAACGGGUGAGUAAUGUAUCGGAACGUACCUUUCAGUGGGGGAUAACGUAGCGAAAGUUACGCUAAUACCGCAUAUUCUGUGAGCAGGAAAGCAGGGGAUCGAAAGACCUUGCGCUGAUUGAGCGGCCGAUAUCAGAUUAGCUAGUUGGUGGGGUAAAGGCCUACCAAGGCGACGAUCUGUAGCGGGUCUGAGAGGAUGAUCCGCCACACUGGAACUGAGACACGGUCCAGACUCCUACGGGAGGCAGCAGUGGGGAAUUUUGGACAAUGGGGGCAACCCUGAUCCAGCCAUGCCGCGUGAGCGAAGAAGGCCUUCGGGUUAUAAAGCUCUUUCGGCCGGGAAGAAAUCGCAUAGGCUAAUACCCUGUGUGGAUGACGGUACCGGAAUAAGAAGCACCGGCUAACUACGUG
rnacentral:rRNA from 1 species